rnacentral:tRNA from 1 species
AAGCGUUUACGAGAUUCAAGUGCCUGGUUCGGGACCAGGAGGUCGAUGGUUCAAAUCCAUUCGCCCCGACCA